CGGAUCGCAGGCUGCAACCCGCCUGCGUGAAGUGGGAAUCGCUAGUAAUCGCGGAUCAGCAUGCCGCGGUGAAUACGUUCCCGGGCCUUGUACACACCGCCCGUCACACCAUGAGAGUCGGGAACACCCGAAGUCCGUAGUCUAACCGCAAGGGGACGCGGCCGAAGGUGGGUUCGAUAAUUGGGGUGAAGUCGUAACAAGGUACC
rnacentral:rRNA from 1 species